CAAUACAUAGAUACUCCAGCUAAUAAACCAUUGAGAACUUAUUUACACAGUCUAUGAGUUGUACACUGUGUACUGAAGACCCUGGUGGGGUGUCUCAGGAAGCAGGACUGUCUCUGUCCCUGCACAGGAUCUGUGGGUGGUCCCUGGUGCUGGUGUCCAGCUUCAGGGAUCUUGGUGCAGCAGGUGGUGGUUCCUCCCCUGUAGUCUCCAGCCACACAGGGGCUUGCAGGAGGGUCUUUCCAGGCUUGGAGUCUCCUCACAGGCAGCUCCUCUGUUGUCCUGCCCCACCUUCACUCUGAGGCAAAAGGGGGGAGAACAGACACACCACAGCACUCUUCCCUGCUACCUCUGGCUGCUACUGCUGCAGGGCUCUGCCAGGGGCUCUCAGAGGGGCAGCCAUGGGGAGAUCCUUUCCCUGGUCUCCAGCCUAUCCACCCCACACUUUGUUCUCUCCCUGGGAAAACUCUUUUAACCAAGCCUCUCAGCCACGGCUCUUCCCCGGCUUUUGCUAACCUCUCUCAAUCCAACCCUGCUGGGGUUACAUCACCCCUCCCACUUCCAAGAGGGCUACCUCCAAAAUAGCUUUACUUGCCCUCAGCGUAAACAGUGUCCCUACUGGGACAAACUGUCUCUUCGCACUCUGUCCCUCUACAGGCCCUUCUUAUUCCUUCAGGUGGAUCCAGUUUUAAUGCUGCUACAAAUAAAUUAUCCUCCUAUGAUUAAGUCAUUAGUACUUAUGUUAGCUGGGCUAUUGCAAUUGCAAGUAAAAUAUUAUUCAUAGAGCUGUCAAUUUAAUAUUGUCUUGGGUACAAAAAGAUUUGACAUGGCAAAGAGGAGGAUAUACCAUGUCACAGGUGAUUAUAAAUUAUUAAAUGUUUCUUCUAAAUCUAACUUAAAUGCCAUUUACCCUAUCACAAAUGAGCUAAUCUUAACAAGUUUUUAACUUUGGAAUGAAAUUUUAAUAUCUGAGAAAAUAAAAUGGCAAGCUCCCUUAUGACUAUUGAAUAACGCCUUAAGAUUGUGUAGCAUACUUAGCUGAGAGGAAAAUGACUGAAUUCAGGUAACACACCUGUCUGAUAAAGAAAGGGAUCUCUUCAUUAGUAUAAACUAAUAACUGAUAUUCCAGAUCCCUGUUUCAAACUAUUUUCACUAUUGAGGCAUUUCUUGUUUUGGGAAAUAAACAGAAAGAGCUUCAACUCUACAUUUUGGGAAGUUGAAUAAUGAAUACUCCAACAAGAGCUUAGAGAAUUUCUAACGCGCAUAGAUUUUUUUUUUUUUUAUUGGUAUUCUAGGAACUCAUGGCAAAAAUCAUGGAGAGGUGAAAUGCAGAAUUAAAAGCACAUUAUUUUGGGGAAGCUGGAUGUUGAUGUAUGACCAGGUUAACUCUAAAAUAAAUAUUGAACACAGAAUGAUGCAGUGUUUUUCAAAGUACAUUAUUCAAAAACAAAUGACUGAUUUAUGGUUUUGUUUUGGAUGCAGGUAAAAAUAUUCAUAUACAGACUGGGGAUUUUACAUGUAAGAUUCUUGUAUGGCAAAAGUCUGGCUGGAAACUAUAGAUUACAUGCUAGAUUUGAGCAACUGUUCGGUUUAUUUAAUCCAGAUGUUUGUAUUUAAAUAAUUUUGGGAUAAAUAAUAGUAAACCAAUAAAAGAAGUCUUGUGAAAG